AAUGAACGCUGGCGGCAUGCCUAACACAUGCAAGUCGAACGAAGGCUUCGGCCUUAGUGGCGCACGGGUGCGUAACGCGUGGGAAUCUGCCCCUUGGUUCGGAAUAACAGCGAGAAAUUGCUGCUAAUACCGGAUAAUGACGUAAGUCCAAAGAUUUAUCGCCUAGGGAUGAGCCCGCGUAGGAUUAGCUAGUUGGUGUGGUAAAGGCGCACCAAGGCGACGANCCUUAGCUGGUCUGAGAGGAUGAUCAGCCACACUGGGACUGAGACACGGCCCAGACUCCUACGGGAGGCAGCAGUGGGGAAUAUUGGACAAUGGGCGAAAGCCUGAUCCAGCAAUGCCGCGUGAGUGAUGAAGGCCUUAGGGUUGUAACUCGUAAGAAUAGGAAGAAUAAAUGACGGUACUAUUUGUAAGGUCCGGCUAACUACGUGCCAGCAGCCGCCGUAAC
rnacentral:rRNA from 1 species